CUGGGCAUAGUAAAUAGCCCACAGCCGUAGUCUCAGCUACUUGGGCAGCUGAGGCAGGAGAAUUACUUGAGCCCAGGAGUUCUAGGCUGUAGUAUGCUAUGCCAACCGGGUGUCUACACUAAGUUGAGCAUCAAAACAGUGGCCUCUCAGGAGCAAGAGACCACUGUGUUGCCUAAGGGGUCAACUGGCCCAAGUUGGAAAUGGAACAGGUCAAAGCUCCCAUGCUGAUCAGUAGUGGGAUUGCACCUGUAAAAAACCACUGCACUCUAGCCUGGAAAAGCAUAGCAAGACCCUGUCUCU
rnacentral:SRP_RNA from 1 species